rnacentral:rRNA from 1 species
CCUACGGGAGGCAGCAGUGAGGAAUAUUGGUCAAUGGACGCAAGUCUGAACCAGCCAUGCCGCGUGCAGGAUGACGGCUCUAUGAGUUGUAAACUGCUUUUGUACGAGGGUAAACCCCGAUACGUGUAUCUGUUUGAAAGUAUCGUACGAAUAAGGAUCGGCUAACUCCGUGCCAGCAGCCGCGGUAAUACGGAGGAUCCGAGCGUUAUCCGGAUUUAUUGGGUUUAAAGGGUGCGUAGGCGGUUUGAUAAGUGAGAGGUGAAAGGUCGGGGCUCAACCCCGAAACUGCCUCUAAUACUGUUGGACUAGAGAAUAGUUGCGGUAGGCGGAAUGUAUGGUGUAGCGGUGAAAUGCUUAGAGAUCAUACAGAACACCGAUUGCGAAGGCAGCUUACCAAACUAUAUCUGACGUUGAGGCACGAAAGCGUGGGUAGCAAACAGGAUUAGAUACCCUUGUAGUC